rnacentral:lncRNA from 1 species
UGAAUAUCCAGAUUCAUGAGAAGACACUGAUCAAGAUUGAAGACCUCUUUUUGUACUUCUGUUAAUCUGUCUGUAACAAUACUUUGAAACGAAACGAACGCUAGAAAUCCAGCUAGAAACUGGUGGCUACUUUCUUGGGUGAGAGGUCUCAACAAGAAAGAGUCGUACUUUGAUUUUGUGUUUGACUGUUGAGUGUCUACAAGGAUCAAAGGGUUGAUAGAAAGCCAGCUAGAAACUGGUGGCUACUUUCUU